GUAGUCUCGCACAGAUGCAUAUCAAUAAGCGGAGGAAAAGAAACUAACAAGGAUUCCCCUAGUAACGGCGAGUGAAGCGGGAAGAGCUCAAAUUUGAAAUCUUAAAGGGUUUCCCUUUACGAAUUGUAGUUUAAAGAAGUGUUUUCUGUUGAGGUUUUGGUAAAAGUUCUUUGGAAUAGGACAUCAUAGAGGGUGAGAAUCCCGUAUUUGACCUUUACUUUCAACUUUGUGAUACACUUUCAAAGAGUCGGAUUGUUUGGGAAUGCAGUCCAAAAUGGGUGGUAAAUUUCAUCUAAAGCUAAAUAUUGGCGAGAGACCGAUAGCGAACAAGUACCGUGAGGGAAAGAUGGAAAGAACUUUGAAAGAGAGUUAAACAGUACGUGAAAUUGUCAAAAGGGAAGCGUUUGACACCAGUGUUGUUUUUCUGAAAAUCAAUUAAAGAACUGUUUAUGCUAAGCUGUUUAGACUUUAUCAGCUAACUGUUUAGUUUUGAGCUUUUCUUUAAUGCACUUUUCAGUUAACAAGUCAACAUCAAUUUCUUUUGCUGUAAAAAAGCUUGAGGAAGGUGGCUUGAGAUUCGUCUUAAGUGUUUAUGGCCUCUUGCCUAUGCAGUCGGAGAGAUUGAGGUCUGCAGCGUAGAUCCUUCGGGGCUAAAUGCAUUUGUGCUAAGUUAUAGCAUUUUAUAGACAACUUGUUGACUAUGAUUUGUCUUGUAGCUUACUCGCUUAUGUUAUUUUACCUACGCUUAGGAUGUUGAAGACUCUACAGAGAUA
rnacentral:rRNA from 1 species